UACGGGGGGGGCAAGCGUUGUUCGGAAUUACUGGGCGUAAAGGGCUCGUAGGCGGCCAACUAAGUCAGACGUGAAAUCCCUCGGCUUAACCGGGGAACUGCGUCUGAUACUGGAUGGCUUGAGUUUGGGAGAGGGAUGCGGAAUUCCAGGUGUAGCGGUGAAAUGCGUAGAUAUCUGGAGGAACACCGGUGGCGAAGGCAGCUCGCUGGGACGUGACUGACGCUGAGACGCGAAAGCGUGGGGAGCAAACAGG
rnacentral:rRNA from 1 species